AGAUAACAAAAUAAAGUGAACUGAUUUGAUGAUAUAUUUACAGUGCACUACAUUUUUUUUCUAUUAAAAAUAAAAAACUUAUUCCAAACAAUAUUUGACAAUAUAUUUAUUCCCCAGUGAUAUCAGCGCAUGGCUUUGAAGUAAAAAGGGAUCUUGAUUUCCUCCUCUAAUACUCACAAACACAAGCGCUGACUUACAGAGGUGUAUGAUGUUGUGGUUCUGCUGCAUUUUGCAGACAUCAGAAGCUUCCCUUCCUCACCUCAAAUUCACAAGCAGCCAGUCUGGACCUGUUCUCAUACCUACCAAAUUACUGACAUAAAUAACCAAACAGAUGUAAUUCAGAAGUAUGUCAAUCUGCCUGCAAUCCAUAUGCAGCAUGACUCUAAUUUUGUGAGCCAGCCUACUGAAGCCCCUUCUGUAAGCCCAUGGCCAACUGCUGGUCGUUUGGGACUUGUUGCUGAACAGACAGCCAUUAGUGAGCUUUGGAACUCAUUGCUACAGCGAGCCAACAUUACAGAUGAGUUCAAAAAGUGACUGUACACAUUCAGGCAAAAAAUCAACCAUGAGCUAGUACACACACAACAUUAUAUAGACUCUCCAAUUCAAGAAGCCCCUCCACGACAGACUGCGCAGCAUGAAAAGAGCAGUGUUCCUCAGUCCCUGUUCCUUGCCUUACAUUUUUUUUUCCACUAAGCACCUGCUAUUUUCCACUUUCAGGGUUGGAGCAGUUUGCCAAACAGAUCUCUGGCCCUAGCUGGGACAUUUUUUGCAGGUAAGUAAGAACACAGAGGCCAUAUUCGGUGAAAUCGGGAUUAAAAGCCUGCAAUUCCAGCUUCAAAACUGAUAGACAGAGCAGAUGCCAGACAAACAGUGAUGGUGCUUUGGGGCUGGGGAACAGCAGGAUCUGCUUUUCUCACUGCCUUAUUUUGCCUUCCUUUAUUCUUUUCUUAUCUAAGUACUCAAAGAGGAACAGAGCAUUUUCUGAGUAAAAUUUCUAUCCUCUUAAUAUUCAUUUCAUUUACUGAAAACUGACUUUGACAAAGCAUUCAUGCCAUCUCUCAAAGCGCCGUAAAUCAGGAGUGGUGCAACCGAUGUCAGUGACCUAGACCUACAAACUGAGCAUAAUAACAGCUUUCACAUAUUACCAUUACAGCCUCAGAGUGCUGAGCCAAAUGGGGUGUUCCUGUUGCAAUAUUCAGUAACUGAAGAGAAAACAUUUCACAGAAGCACCUAAUAUAAAAUAAAUCAGAAAAGAUGAAAACUCACUUUUAUGACUAAAUCCAAAGUUUUAAAAUUCUGCGAAUGAAAAAAAGAACAGUGCAAGUAAAAGCUACUGGGAAAAAAUAAAUUGAUUUUUCUGAGAAAAUGUCUUCUAUGCUUCCCUCAGCGAAGCGGGGCAGGGCACUGAUACACUGCUGAUGAGAAGUGAACAGUUCUAUUUUCUACAGCUCCUCAGCUUUCAGAUUUGGUUGAUUUCACUCUAAGUGAAAAGAAAGAACUGGGUAGUGAUUGUGCUGAAUGAUUGUGUCAUUUGUGUGACUAUGUCAUUUGACUGAAAGCAUUGCUUCUGAUUUUACCUCCUCCAACUCUGGAAGUGAACAGAGAUGUAACUCAAAUUCUCAGAAAUCCUAUCAGUAUCAAAACAGUUCUGAGAAACAGAGUUUGUUUCAGAAGUACAGCAUAAUUCUAGGAAGUAUGUAGCUCAACUAUAACUUCUUAUAUAAAUCAAAUGAAGGACAUACACCUGACAACAGAUCGCUUUGCUUUGACAAUCACUUGUUUCAAACACUGCUAACGAACAGUUUAGAGAGGUAGGCCCCCACUUCUGGCCCUUCCCCUCGGCUUAUUUUUGCCUUGUAAAAUUAAAUUUGCACAUUUUGGAUGUGAUUAAGAAAUACCUAACUGCUAUAAAUAAACAAGCAGAUAAUAUGACACAAACAAAAGCCGGGCCUGCCAAGUCCUAACAAGUCAAGGAGAUGACGUUGUUUAUACACGCUUGAAACCACAGAGCAACGAAUGCUUCCAACCCAAAGCAAGCGUGCCAUGCCAUGCACAAACAAAACCAGCUGUAGGAAUCUUAUUUUCUCAAAUCCAGUUAAAGUAUAUGAAAUGGUCUGCAGAGUGAGAAUCAUACCAGUAAGGAGAAGGAUAACUUGUAGUGCUAAACCUCAGAAGGAAUGGACACCAGUACCUGUAUUCCACAGAGAAAUCAGUUUAGUGACACGGCUGACAAUGGGCAACCCCAAAUCAUCAAAGACAGUAACAAAACCGGCAAACAGACACAGCUUUUUCUCAAGGCCAGCUGACAAGGUGAAAUCUGGAGGUUUGCCAGGAAAACAGCAUGGGUCACUGUUGUUUAGUACAGGAUGUUAAUUGAAGAUUUGAAAUUACGUCUCCAUGCAAUUUGAAGGUGAACACGUAAGAGCUAUGUGUUUACCUAUAUAGGAUGGCCAUGGGAUUCUUGAGGAGCCUCUUUCAACACUCCUAAUUAAUACUUCUAAAAUGUUCUGAUGAGAAAAAAG
ensembl:lncRNA